AUUCCAGCUCCAAUGGCGUAUAUUAAAGUUGUUGCAGUUAAAAAGCUCGUAGUUGGAUUUCUGGCAGGAGCGACCGGUCGGCCCAUUGUGGUGUGUACUAGUGUUGCAUCUGGCCAUAUUUGUGGAGAGCGUGUGUGGCAUUAAUUUGUCGUGCUCGGGACCCGCAUCGUUUACUGUGAGAAAAUUAGAGUGUUCAAAGCAGGCUUAUGCCUUGGAUAUGUUAGCAUGGAAUAAUAAGAUAAGACUUUGGCGGUCUAUUUUGUCGGUUUGCACGCCAUUGUAAUGAUUGAUAGGGACAGUUGGGGGUAUUCAUAUUUAAUUGCCAGAGGUGAAAUUCUUGGAUUUAUGAAAGAUGAACUACUGCGAAAGCAUUUACCAAGGAUGUUUUCAUUG
rnacentral:rRNA from 1 species